AAUAGAGGUUUAAGCCCUCUUAUUUCUAGAAU
rnacentral:tRNA from 1 species